rnacentral:rRNA from 1 species
CACGUAGGGCGCAAGCGUUGUCCGGAAUUACUGGGCGUAAAGAGCGCGCAGGCGGUCGUUCAAGUCGAGUGUGAAAGCCCCCGGCUCAACUGGGGAGGGUCAUUCGAUACUGAUCGACUCGAAGGCAGGAGAGGGUAGUGGAAUUCCCGGUGUAGUGGUGAAAUGCGUAGAUAUCGGGAGGAACACCAGUGGCGAAGGCGACUACCUGGCCUGUUCUUGACGCUGAGGCGCGAAAGCUAGGGGAGCAAACGGG